rnacentral:rRNA from 1 species
AGCGAACGCUGGCGGCGUGCUUAACACAUGCAAGUCGAGGGAGAACGGAGGGCUUCGGCCUUCCUAGUAAACCGGCGCACGGGUGAGUAACACGUAGGUAACCUACCCCCGAGACUGGGAUAACCUGUCGAAAGAUAGGCUAAUACCGGAUAAGACCACGAUGGUUUCGACCAAUGCGGUCAAAGAUGGCCUCUAUUUAUACGCUAUCACUCGAGGAUGGGCCUGCGCGCCAUUAGCUAGUUGGUGAGGUAACGGCUCACCAAGGCUACGAUGGCUAGUUGGUCUGAGAGGAUGACCAGCCACACUGGGACUGAGACACGGCCCAGACUCCUACGGGAAGCAGCAGUGGGGAAUAUUGCGCAAUGGGGGAAACCCUGACGCAGCGACGCCGCGUGGGUGAUGAAGGCCUUCGGGUCGUAAAGCCCUGUCGGAGGGGAAGAAGGACUGCCGGUCAAAUAGGCCGAUGGUCUGACGGUACCCUUAGAGGAAGCACCGGCUAACUCCGUGCC